rnacentral:lncRNA from 1 species
CGAAUAAUCCUCCUCGAAAUAAAAACAAAAAUAGUGAGAAACAAACUAAUCCGAAAGAUUAAAAAUAAAGGUGCGAAAAAUUAAUUUUAAUCCCCGGCAGCGGCGCCAAAAACUUGAUGUGCUAGAAAUUAUACCUUAUAAAUCGCAAGCGCACGAUCACCGUAUUAAUAUUUAAGAUUCGAUCCACAGAGAUUAAAAU